rnacentral:lncRNA from 1 species
CACGUAUCGAAACCCUCGUGCUUGAUAACUGAAGCAGCAAGUGGCAACCCAUGAAUUACAGCCAAAGGAGUAAAGGAUAUUUUCCUAUUAACAGUAGCACGGGUUUAACCCAGGUGCUAGCUCGAAUCAAAUGGUACACACUUAGGGUGCUUCUUCCGACGAUGCACCAUCGUGGACGAGCUCAAACCAAUAGAACGGAGGAGGAAUCAGGAACGAUCGUUGAAGCGGAGUAGCUCGCAAAAUGUGCAAGUAUCGUCAGGUGUCGAAUGCAUGCAGUUUUGCAAUGCAAUGUCGGGAAGGAAAAACACAGCGUAGGCGGUUGGCAGCGAGAAACAACAAGUCGAAGACAUCUUGUCCCGCUCAUCCUCAUUAAAAUGCGCGACGACCUGGCUUCGAAACAUUAAAACGCCGAUGCACUUCGCGGUCGCGUUAGCUUCACCAGGGUAACUGUAAAACUUCCGUGUCCGCAACUAGUUCCUGCGUUUUGAGAGGUGACAGUAAAUUCUUCCAGUCGACUGAAGGCGUGCGCGGACGUUUGUGGUUUUAGUGGUCCAACAGGAAAGAGCACAGAGAUUGUGUUUGCUGGAAAUGAACUGAACAAGUCGACCCCUGGCAAAAGUGACAUGUUGCUUCAUUCUGGCGGAACAUUUGUUCCGUAGAGCCCUUGAGUGUAUACUGAAAGAGUCUCGAGUUAAUUUGAGCAAGUUUGCCGGCGGAAUGAUCUUCUCCACUACUGGGG